rnacentral:tRNA from 1 species
GGUGGCUUAGUGGUAGAGUGCUUGCCUUGCAUGCAUGAGGCCUUGGGUUCGAAUCCUCACACCG